rnacentral:rRNA from 1 species
GACAGCAGCCGCCACGGUAAUACGUAGGGUGCGAGCGUUAAUCGGAAUUACUGGGCGUAAAGCGUGCGCAGGCGGUUGUGUAAGACAGGUGUGAAAUCCCCGGGCUUAACCUGGGAACUGCGCUUGUGACUGCACAGCUAGAGUAUGGCAGAGGGGGGUGGAAUUCCACGUGUAGCGGUGAAAUGCGUAGAGACGUGGAGGAAUACCGAAGGCGAAGGCAGCCCCUUGGGAAAGUACUGACGCUCAUGUGCGAAAGCGUGGGGAGCAAACAGGAUUAGAUACCCCCGUAGUCCCUGUCUCUUAUAC